GAAACUUUAAGUUUCCUUGCUUAUCUCUUUAUAUAUUAUAUGCUUAUCUUUCAAUUUUCUUAAGCUUUAUUUUUGAAAUGUUUUAUUCCAAAAUAAUCAGCAUUUGUAGCCAAUUUUUACUUACUGUGGUAUAAACUAAUAUCAAGCACUUUGCUUGACGAAUGCAAUUUUAUUCAUCGCAAUGGGGGUUUUUGAUUUGUUUUCUUUUCGUCAGAUCUUUGUAAGAAUUCGGUUGAUGGGUUCUCUGUCAGAUUGGUUGAUAAAAACAAUAUCUUUGAAUGGAGUGUUACAAUUAUUGGACCACCUGAUACUUUUUAGUAAGUCAUCCUCGCCUUUUUUUUUGGUAAAAUUUCUUUCUUUCUUUUGUUAUUAUCAUUGAAAUUAGUUGUUUCUUAUGGAUUCUUUGAUCUGGAUUUUGUGUGUUUACAUUUGAUUAGGAGAUUAAUGCUUAAUAGGGUUUAGGGUUUUUUAAAUUGGAUUGAUUUAGUUGAACUUUGAUUUAUGCUAUAGUUGGUUUUAAGGUGUUCUAUUAAAUUCGAAUAGGAUUUUGGGGUUCUAAAUUAGAUUAUCUUGAUUGAGUUUUAGGUGACUGUAAGGUUAACGUAUGAUUUUGAGUCUUACCUAUUGAUUGUGUUGCCAAUUGCCAAUUGUUUAGGUUUCUCGAAUUGAUUGCAGACAGCGAUCUUAACAAAACAAAUUGUUUGUUUUCGACAACUAUACAUAAUAACCAUGGAUAGGGGUUGUUGAAUUGUAGAAAUCAGAGUAUUUGAUACUAAAUAGAACAUAAAUCAGAGUUUUUAUAUACAACCUAUGACACUACUUUAGGAAACUCUAAGUUAGGAAAGAUACUAAAUAGGAGAUAUGAUCCCUUAAAAUAAGGGAUUUUAAUAAAGAAAAUAUCUACAAAAUAUUCCUAAAAUAUUUACAGAAUAUUCCUACACUCCCCCUCAAGCUGAAGAAUAUACAUUGUAUAAUCCCAGCUUGAAUAGGAAUUUACUGAACACAGGUUUUGGCAAAGCCUUGGUAAGAAUGUCUGCAAUCUGUCCUUCUAAAGGAAUGUAAGAAAGAGUGGCUGUCUUUUUGUUGACUUGAUCAGCAAUAAAAUGCCUAUCAAUUUCAACAUGCUUUGUUCGGUCAUGUUGAACUGGGUUCUUGGCAAUCUGAAUGGCAGAUUGAUUAUCACACAAAACUUCAAAGUGAUCCUCCUGAUUUGUGCCAAGUUCUUUUAGUAAUUUAAGUAGCCAAAUUCCUUCGCAUAUCCCCAAAGCUAGUGCUCUAAAUUCAGCUUCAGCACUACUUCUUGAAACAACAGAUUGUUUCUUACUUCUCCAAGUUGUAAGGUUACCCCAAACAAAAGUGCAGUACCCACUAGUGGAUCUUCUUUCAGUGAGAUCUCCAGCCCAACUAGAGUCUGUAAAAAUCUUAACAGUUCUGUCUUGUGUCUUCUUAAACAUUAAGCCGUGUCCUGGAGUUUUCUUCAAGUACUUGAGAAUUCUAUUUGCUGCUGCCAUAUGCUCUUCAGUAGGAUUAGUCAUGUGUUGACUUAUCACAUUUACGGGAAAAGCUAUAUCUGGCCUUGUCAAAGAUAAGUAGAUUAGUUUCCCAACUAACCUUUGAAAUUUCUCUCUGUCUACUAAGGACUCAUCUUCUUUAUUGAAUCUCAAGUUUGCCUCCAUUGGUGUAUCAGCCGGCUUACAGCCAAGAAAACCAGUUUCUUUGAGUAAAUCAAGUACAUACUUUCUCUGGUUGAUCACAAGUCCUUCUUUUGAUCUUGCCACCUCCAUUCCUAGGAAAUACCUUAGCUUUCCCAAGUCCUUGGUUUCGAAUUCCCUGUUUAACAACUUCUUCAAAUUGCUAAUCUCUUCCUCAUCAUCUCCAGUAAGAAUGAUGUCAUCCACAUACACAAUUAGGAUAGCUUUCUUAUUUGUAGAAGUUACCUUGAUGAAAAGCGUAUGAUCGGCAAGGGACUGCUUGUAGCCAUUUUGAAGAAUGACUUUAGUGAACCUCUCGAACCAAGCUCUGGGUGAUUGUUUUAACCCGUAUAGAGACUUGUUGAGCUUGCAAACCUUGUUGCUACCUUCAAUAGACUUUGAGCCAGGUGGCAAUUGCAUAUAGACUUCUUCCUCAAGCUUGCCAUUAAGAAAUGCGUUUUUUACAUCAAGUUGGUGUAAUUUCCAAUCGCAAUUUACAGCCAAACUUAGGAGUACUCGAAUAGUGUUAAGCUUUACCACAGGUGCAAAAGUUUCUGUGAAAUCUAUCCCAUAUGUUUGCGUGAAACCUCUGGCCACUAGUCUAGCUUUGUAUCGUUGGAUACUGCCAUUGGAGUUAUACUUUACAGCAAAGAUCCAUUUACAGCCGACAGCCUUUUUUUCUUGAGGAAGGUCUAUAAUGGUCCAAGUAGCAUUUUUCUCUAGUGCACAAAUUUCCUCUUCAAUAGCCCUUCUCCAUUUUGGAUCCUUUAGAGCUUCAGCUAUGCUUGUGGGAACCUGUUCUUUAUCCAAAGUUGCUGUAAAUGCUUGAAAAGACGGCAUCAAUGAAUUAUAACCAGUAAAUUUUUCAAUAGGAUGCUUGGUGCACUGUCUAACCCCUUUUCUAAUAGCAAUAGGAAAGUCAUCUAGAGUAGUGGACUUACUGAUUUCUUCUUCCAUUUUGGCAGCUGGACCCAAAUCCAAUUCUCAGCAAGAAUCAGAUUGCAAAACAGUCUCAGGGAUAUGUCUUCUUUUUCUUGUGUAGACACGAAGCUGUUUGGGUGAUGGUGUUUUUUGAAGACUGUCAAUUGGAGUAGGUGUAUUUUCAGGAAGAGUGUUUAAAGUGGGUGUAGGUGAAUUAGUCAUAGGUACUGCAGGAGAAUCAAUGGGAGCAUUCACAGGUGACAGAUCUGCAGGUAAUGGCGAACAAGAUGGCAAUUCUGAAGGUUGAGAAUGAAGAUUAGAAGGAGAUACCUGUUGUGGCUGAAAAUCACUCCAUGUUUCCCCCUGAAUUUCAGCCUGAGUGAAAUAGGAAUCCUGCUCAUAAAAUGUUAUAUCCAUAGUGGUGAAAAAUCGUUUAGAAGGAGGAUGAUAGCAUUUAUAACCCUUCUUAAGUGAAGAAUACCCAACCAAUACACAUUUUAAAGACUUAGGAUCUAACUUGGACUUAUUAGGAGCAAUAUUUUGGAUAAAAACAGUGCAGCCAAAAAUUUUAAGUGGCAGAAUGGAGGAGAUAGGCUUAAAAUGAGGAAAGUGCUGCAAAAAUAUAGAUUGAGGCGUUUGAAAUUUUAAAACCUUCCUAGGCAUCCGGUUGAUUAAAUAUGUGGCAGUUAAUAAGGCUUCCCCCCACAAAUAUUUAGGAACAUUAGUGGUAAAUAGAAGAGAACGAGUAACUUCAAGAAGGUGCCUAUUUUUUCUUUCGGCAACGCCGUUUUGCUGUGGGGUUCCAACACAAGAACUAAUCUGAACUAUGCCCUUUGUAACACCACUUACCCGAGACCGUUUCCGGAGUCGAGCACGAGGCAUUACUUAGCUUAUCUUACCAAUUCGGAGCAUAAAAACUAGGUUUGAAAAUUUAUUUCAUUAUUCGCAGCAAAUCUGUCCAAUCGCGCAGCAGUUACUAAAUUAAUUAUAACUUGAGCUACAGAACUCAAAAUUUAAUUCCGUAAAUUUUCCCUGAAACUAGACUCAUAUAUAUACUCACCAUAAAAUUUUUAGAAUUUUUGGUUCAGCAAAUUAGUACAGUUUAUUAGUUAAAGUCUCCCCUGUUUCACCACCUGACUGCCCUGACCUCUAGUCACUAAAAAUAAGUUUUCUCACUGUAGGAUUUUCAUAUGAAGUUCUUACUUGUUUCUACAGAAAAUAGACUCAUUAAGAAAUCUAAGCAUGUAAAUUUCAACUCAUAACCAUUUUUUUACAAUUUGUAAUUAUUUUCUAAACUCAGAACAGGGGACUCCAAAAAUAGUUCUGACCCUAUCUUACUAAAAUUCACAUAUAUUAAAAUAUAAAUUUCCUUUUUCUACACCGUUAUUUUUCCAUGAAAAUAGACUCAACAAGCUUUAAUUCCAUAUAUCAUUCACCCUCUAAUUCAUUUUAUACUAUCUUGGGUGAUUUUUCAAAUUCACGUCACUGUGCUGCCUGAAUUCUGUUUCUUUGCAAAAUUUUAUCCUUUCAUGAUUUUCAUGCAUAAUUUAUCACCUAAUCUUUCAUAACAAUAAACACCUUCAUCCUUAAUCAUUUUAAUAACCAUACAUCAUCAAAUACUUACACAUCACUCAUUAGCAAAAUCAUCAUUACAAACAUACAAAAUAACUAAAUCCCUAUACAUGCCAUAACUCAAACGUGUUUCGAUAUAAAAUACCGAGCAGUUGUAGUUGAUAGUGUGGACGAUCUCCAACUUCUUUAGGAUCCUUGAAGUAGCUUUGCAAUACUAUAAGAGAAAGAGAAAUAAAAGAAGUAAGCAUAAAGCUUAGUAAGUUUACUAGCAAAUAAAUAACAAUAUUUAACUUAAAUAAUUAAACUCAAUGUCUAUAUCUCUAGUUUACUCUUUAGUUAAUCUCAUACUAGUUCUCUUACUUGUUUACUUAGAAUACUUGUGUGCAUAACUUACUCAAUCCUUGCUGCAUCAUUGAACAUCAAUUGAUAGUAUAAUAAGUUCUUAAGUCUUACAACUUACCUGAGCUUUCCAUUUAUGCUUUAAACUGAACUUUCAUGAACAUGAUUCGUUUUAAGCCCGUUGAGCUACAUUGGAAUAAUAAGGAUACUCGGGUCUCUUCUGAUAAUAACAUGCCAAAGCCAUGUCCCAGACAUGGUCUUACAUGGGAUGUUCUCGUGAUGGUGCCCAUGCCAUGUCCCAGACAUGGUCUUAUAGGGGACCUCUCAUCUCGGUGCCAACGCCAUGUCCCAGACAUGGUCUUACAUGGGACCUCUCGUCUCGGUGCCCAUGCCAUGUCCCAGACAUGGUCUUACAGGGGACCUCUCAUGAUCUUAAGGAUGCCAAUGCCAUGUCCCAGACAUGGUCUUACAUGGGAUCUCUUUACCCAAAUGUCAUGACAUUCGUAUCCAGUACCAUCCUUAUGUAUCAACGGGACUUUUAAAUUUUAAUUCUCUAUCAUUUCAUGCUUGGAUCAUCAUCAAAUAAAUUCAUAAAAUAAAUUCAUAAUUGCUGGAAAUUAACAGCAUUAAUAAUAAAUAUUGAAAUAUUUCAUUUAUUUACCGUAAACUUACCUCGGUACCAAUUAUAGUCUUCAACUUUAUUCUUCCCUUUGUCUAACCUCGAGUUUCGUACUUCUUGAUCUAAAAUAGUAAAUUUAACUUAUUUAAUAAUCACAUUCAUCAAAACAGCCCUCGACUCUAACUUUUUCAAAAUUACAAUUUUGCCCCUAAACUUUUACAUAAUUACAUUUUUUCUCCAAGGCUCGGAAAUUAAACUUCAUCUCUUAUUCUUAUGUUUUAUAACAUUCUAAACAUUUUUCCCUUCUAUGGCAACAUCAAAUUCCCACUCUAACAUGUACUUAUGAACAUUAGGUAUUUUUACCGAUUAUGUCGUUUUACUCGUUUUCACUUAAAAUCGCUUAGCAAAAGUUGUUUAACAUAAUUUCUAGCUUCAUAUUCUAUCAUAAAACAUCAAAAUAAACACUUUUCACCUAUGGGUAUUUUUCCAAAUAUAAACCCUAGGUUAAAUUAUUGCUAGAAUAAGCUAAAUUAAGCUACCGGGAUCUCAAAAACGUAAAGAACAUUAAAAACGGGGCUUGGGAUCACUUACUAUGGAGCUUGGAAGCUUGAAAACCCUAACUAUGGCUUCCCCCCUUGCUGAUUUCGUUCAUAUGAAGAAGAUGAUGAUUUUUGCCAUCUUUUUCCCUUUUAAUUCAUUUUAAUUACUAGAUUACCAAAUUGCCCCUAACUUAAAAAUUUUCUAUUUCACUUAUCUCAUGUCCAUUUUUGUCUACCAAGUUACCAAUGGUAUAAUUACCAUAUAAGGACCUCCAAUUUAAAGUUUCAUAACAAUUGGACACCUCUAACAUGUAGAACUCAACUUUUGCACUUUUUACAAUUUAGUCCUUUUGACUAAAUUGAGUGCCCAAACGUCGAAAUUUUCGAACGAAAUUUUCAAAAAAUCAUUUUGUGAAAUUGUAGACCAUAAAAAUAUAAGAAAAAUAAAAUUUUUCUCAUCGGAUUUGUGGUUCCGAAACCACUGUUCCGAUAACCUCAAAUUUGGGCCAUUACACCCUUUUCCUUAAAAAAAUCACCUAAAGACCUAGCAAAAAAUUCACUGCCAUUAUCAGAUUUAAAGAGCUGGAUUUUAGACCCAAAUUGAGUGAGAACCAUGUUAUAAAAUUGCACAAAAACACUAGCAGUUUCAGAUUUAUCUUUCAGCAAAUAAGUCCAAGUUAUCCUACUGUGAUCAUCAAUAAAAGUGAUAAACCACUUACAAUUAUCAGCAUUCUUCACCCGAGAAAGGGCCCCAAAUAUCACUAUGGAUCAAAGCAAAAGGGUAAGAAGGCUUGUAUGUAGAAGGAAAAUAAGAUGAUUUAGUAUGUUUGGCAAGAGAGCAAACUUUGCAAGAAAAAGAAUUAGGCCUUUUAUUAAUGAAUAGAGCAGGAAACAAUUUUGCAAGGUAUUGGAAACUAGGAUGGCCUAAACGAAAGUGCCAUAACAUAACAGUAUCAACUUUUCCUAAAGCGGUAAAUGACUUGGAGAUCUCGAUUUUAGGAGAGGUAGGGAGGAUGUAGAGACCAUUAUGCAAGCUGGCCUUACCAAUCAUCUUCUUCGAGUUCAGUGCCUGCAAAGUACAAUCACGAUCAUUAAAAAUUACAGAGCAGUGCAAGUCUGUGGACAAUUUACUAACAGAGAUGAGAUUGCACGCCAGAUUUGGUACAAAGAGAACAUUUUUAAGUGCAAUCUGUUCAUUGAGAAUAACAGUGCCAUGUCCCUCUAUUUUGCACAAGGUACCAUCAGCCGUUUUGACAGCUUUACCAAAGGUAUGGAAAAAUUGUGAAACAAUGCCUUGUUACCAGUCAUAUGAUCCGUAGCACCAGAAUCGAGGAUCCAAUUAGGAGUCAACUGGGAGGAGAAAAAUGCAGUAGAAGAAAGGUUACCUUCUGGAUCUUUUAUGACUAGAUUACCUUCACAAGACCCUUCAAGAAAAUUGUUGCCAUUCAAUCGAUGGCAAGUGAUAGUCAGACCAGACGAAUCUGAUGGAGCAUCGGAACCAGAAAAAUUUUCUGGAUUUGAAGUAAUCUCCGAAGUAGGAGAAGGAGUUUCGGACAUGGUCUAGGUUGAAAAAGAAAUCGUAACCUAAGCUGAUACCAUGUAGAAAUCAGAGUAUUUGAUACUAAAUAGAACAUAAAUCAGAGUUUUUAUAUACAACCUAUGACACUACUUUAGGAAACUCUAAGUUAGGAAAGAUACUAAAUAGGAGAUAUGAUCCCUUAAAAUAAGGGAUUUUAAUAAAGAAAAUAUCUACAAAAUAUUCCUAAAAUAUUUACAGAAUAUUCCUACAUGAAUGCUUCUUUUCAUUAUAUAUAUACAUCAUUUAGUUUUACCAUCAAGACCUAGUUCUUGUAGUAUUGGUUCUCUUGAGAAUGAUAUGUGGUAGUUUCUUAGCUUCUGCAAGGAGGUUGUUGGUUCUAACGAGCAAAAAUUAUUGUUCUUGUGCUUUUGGAAUUUGUUUAGUCACAAAAGCUUGUCAACAGUUGUCUUUGCUUGUAGCUUAUGUUCCUUGUUACGUGUCUUACCUUCCUGUUGCUUGUUAUCCUCAAGUAAUCUUGACAUUGAAUUGAGUUAUUGAAGGUAACUCCCUCCUUUAAGCCUUAACUGCAUUUUGGUGGUUUUUAACAUUUUUCUUGUUAUAAUGCUACAUCAGUGUUCUCCCUUGUAUGUUUGAUGCUCAUGAGUUCUGCAAAUGUGCACUGAAGAUGUCUUACUGCUGGUUGGCUAUGUUGUAACUAUCAAUCCCUUUUAAUUUUCCUGUUAAUUUUUUGCUUUUCAGUGGCCAUCGUCAUGGUAGUUAGUUACUGCUGCUGGUCUCAUUACUGAUGGUAACAAGUUGGGUUUUGGUAUCUUAUUUGAAUUAUUUGUAGAAUUUGAAUCAUAAAAACAUUGUCAAGUAUCUUGGAUCAUUGAAGACAACAACUCACCUGCAUAUAAUUCUUGAGUAAGAAACCUUACAUUGUGACUGUAGUGCUCUCUGAGUUGUUUGAAACUUGUACUUAUUUGUUUAUAUGUUUGAAGGUAUGUGGAGAAUGGUUCACUUGCAAACAUUAUCAAGCCGAAUAAAUUUGGGCCUUUUCCUGAAUC
rnacentral:lncRNA from 1 species